rnacentral:rRNA from 1 species
UACAUGGGGUGCAAACGUUGCUCGGAAUUACUGGGCGUAAAGGGCUCGUAGGCGGCCAACUAAGUCGGAUGUGAAAUCCCCAGGCUUAACCUGGGAACUGCAUCCGAUACUGGAUGGCUUGAAUCCGGGAGAGGGAUGCAGAAUUCCAGGUGUAGCGGUGAAAUGCGUAGAUAUCUGGAGGAAUACCGGUGGCGAAGGCGGCAUCCUGGACCGGCAUUGACGCUGAUGAGCGAAAGCUAGGAGAGCAAACGGG